CUGCUCUUCUUGAUGAGUUUGGCCACAGAGAGGAAUGCUUGCUGGAGCCCCAUUCCCUUCAGGCCGCUGCAUGCCUGGAUCUGCCAGGCUCGGUCUUUGUAGCUGGGAAGCUCCAGCUGGUUGGACACCUCUCUGAUGUUCAUGGUGUUGUGGAGGUCCUUCUUGUUAGCCAGCACCAUCAGAGCCCAUGACGUCAGAGUCCAUCUGGACCAACGAUUUGGACGGGGCUCAAGCGCAAAACUAUCGCUAAACUCAAAGCGGCUGCCUGGUACGUUUGGUAUCCUUACAUCAGCGACGACAACAACGAAGUGACAGCUUUAAUCUGGUAAUCGUGCUUUCAAAUCAUAUUUACUUGAGUGUUAGCGGGGACAGUGGUGGCCUCACAGCCCCUGCUUCUCCCUCCCCUGUGCCCCCCGUCCUC